ensembl:lincRNA
UUUUUUUCAAAAUAAGGAAAUGGUUUUAAGAUAUUUUAAUUUUUUAUGAAUUAUCCAAGUUCAUUGUUGCACAAUUCAAGUAUAAAUCCAUCCAUCGUUCGUGAACGAGGUACAGAUUUAAAAAAUAAUCUGUGAUUCCAAAUAUCAGUUUUUUUCUGCGUGCAAUGCAGUAACAGGUGAAAGGUAUUAUUAGUUAAAGAUCGGGGAGGGAUGCAUGCACACACGUGCGCCAUUUUUUAACCCCUACAAAGGGGAGUGCAGAGGAUGAGUUACACAUAAGCGUGAUGUCAAUCAAUCUUUUAUUUGUUAUAGGGCCCUUUGCAACAGUUAGCCACAGAGCGCUUUAUAGAAUUAUACCGCAGGUGACAAUAUUAUAACAGGUGACCAACUAGCAGGAGAGGAAAACUCCCAGUGACAGAAACCUCUGGGGAUCCCAAGUCUGAUGAUUGCCCCCAAACAAGCAAUGAGUUAGUGAUGCAUUAAUUUUAAUAGAUCACGAGUGAACAGUCUGCAAAACUAAGGACUGAGACACCUGUCCUGGGCCUGUCGUCUGUCUUAUCUGAUGGAAGUAGCUGACUUUUCCGAGGUCUGCCAUCUUGAGUGCAUCGAUUCAUGCUCUGUUGUCACAGGCAGAUAGGAUAUGCAUGCUCAACGUUGAAUCCCAGCACCGAGAUCCAUCCAGGCAGUGGGAAAAUAAAAACAUGGGAAAGGUUGUUACAGUAAGUGGCUGGAAGACCCCAGCUGAAGGUGAUUAACAUGAUGUAACACCCUCUGAUCUUCAGCAGCCCUAGACCAAGGAAAACAGGAUUUAGAGAAAUAAGAAGGGAGUUGGAUUUGAGGCCGGAGGCUGUCGGGGUAUCUCUUAUGUGUUUUGGGAGGUCGUUCCAUGAUUUAGGGGCCCCGUAGCUGCCACUUAGUGGUUAUUUUGGAGAUUUGGAGUUACCAGGGGAGACCGGCGGAAAUCUGUCUUUUCUCACGGUGCUUAAGGGUGUUUCCUCUCUUUCUCGUGCUCCAACCCAAACAGGCCGGAAGGCGGCGGCGGAGCUGGAACAGGAAAUCCAGAGGCUGGAGCUGGCCAGCAGGACCCGGGCGCAGCUGAAGGCGGGCUCGGAGAUGAACCUGCUGGGCGUGGGCAAGGCCGCCAAGCGCACGCCCUUCCGGCAGUCACUGGCGCUUGGAGGAGACUCCCCGGCGUCGCAGGGCGGCUUCUUCACCCCUCUGCUGAGACGCACCGCCUCUGCAAAAAACACCCUGAGGCGCGUGCCCUCCGCCUUCUUCCUGGAGAAGGGCAAGGCUCUCCACAAGCGGAAGGAAUGGGAGACAAAGGCGUCCGUUUAAAACUGGGUCUGCUGGCUCACCUCUACCUUACACACGUUGGCCUUAAUUGUAUGAGUAUAUAUUGCACUGAAUAUAGUAUUACUGUGCAUGUGGACCAUGCACUUAUUUCUGGGGCUCUUUUGUACUUUUUAUAUUAAUUAAAACCACUUAACUUUAUAUUUGGGGUUUCCCUAACUCUGGAAUGAAAAGGGCAAUAGCUGUCCUUUAUGAUGGCUGGCACUGUUCCUUGCUGUGUAAUGUACAUCAGCUCAAACUGAAAAUCUGUACUUCAGGAUCUGACAUCAUUAAAAAUGGCUAACACCCUUCUGGAGCUCCGCUGGUUUCUUCACUCCGCAGUUCACUGGACACGCCGCGCUCCGACGACGGAGUCACGCGUCCGCAGCCCGUGGCUCUGUGCGCAGCCUGGCAGUGGGGGGUCAGCUGGAGGGUCGUGGGUUCGAAUCCCGGGGGGGGC